CACAAGUUUUGGCGGGGACAUUGUUCUCAUCAUGACAGACAUCUUUCCUAUUGGCUUGUAUUAGUUCCGCCCAACAGAAAGUCGGCCAUUUGGUUUGUUUGAAAAAAAAUGCAUGCUCUGGAUUUUGAAAUACUCCUCCUAGGGGAUUUAUGUGACAUGCACCAAACAAGGCCAAGACAGUGAAGAUGCUAAAUUGCGAACUGAUUUUUCAUAUAAUGAACUGUGUUGCCAUGGCAAGGCGAUAAACUUAUGGCAUAAGAAUGAGAUAUAGGGAGAGCUCUCAUCUAUGGUUUGCAUUGUGUGAUUUAGGUAAAAAUUGAGUUUAAUAUUUGGUAUUGGAGGCUGAACACAGGGAUGUGACUAUUGCGGUGCUCCGUUAUAGUGCCACCAACUGGCAGCAGGAAGUGUGGCCCUUUUUACAUACUUUGUAAUAGCACUCCCAUUUUUAAGAUAAUACUUUAUUAAUCCGCAGAUGGAGGAAUUAGGGUGGAGAAAUUUUACCUGAAUUACUUCAAACUUGUCCAGAAUAAGGUCAAGACAAUCAUUCACUCAACUGUCAACUCAAAUCAAUAUUAGCACCAUGCUUUAAAACUGAGAUAUGUUUGCCAAUUUGCUCUGGCUACAACAUGCAAGGGCCUUACAUCCCCCUGUGACAGGGGGGCCCCUCAUUAUUAUUAUUCUUUUCCCAAAUGAAUCAUGUUUUUUUUUUACACACAUGUUAGAACCGGUGGAAAUUUACAUCUGAUAGGGGUUCCAGAACUGAGUGUGGGAAAAUGCUCCACGAAAUAGCUCCACCGACAAAAUUUCAACGAUGUGUGCCUCGUGCUACCUACACGUAUGGAAUUUGAUACACAUGUAACAUGCCUAUACGUACAAAAAAGUCUCUUGAAUCCAUGCCCUAAAUUCAGACAUUUUGAUUUUUCUCUUCGAUUUUUGCCCCGUUUUUGCCAUUUCCAGACCUCAUAAUUUAACGAACUCCUCCUAGGAUUUCAUCGGAUCAACAUUCAGUCAGUCUCAUAUGAAAGCCUUGACGAUGCUAAAUUGCAAAGCUUUUGAGUUUUCGCUGCAUGGCGAUCUCACAAAGUUCGAUGUUUUGCCAUGAAACAGGAAGUUGUAAUAACUCAAAUAUACAAUGUUCAAUCUCUACCAAACUUCACGUUUGAUACGAAUCCUGGCCUGAAGACAACUACAUGUCAAUAUUCAGUUAUAGUCAUAGCGCCACCUGCUGGCAACAGGAAAUUACAUGUUUUACAUCGUGAUACAGUGCAUCCGGAAAGUAUUCAUAGCGCUUCACUUUUCCCACAUUGUGUUAUUUUACAGCCUUAUUCCAAAAUGGAUUAAAUUCAUUAUUUUCCUCACAUUAUUUUCCUCAAUUUGCAACACACUGUAAUUGCGAACUGUCCAGUUCCGUGUAAAUAAAUAGAUGCACGCGUUCGACAAACGACCUCGGUCUGGAAUAAAGUCGGUGUGACGUUGGAUGUUCGAUAUUCGCGGAUAUGCGGAAAUUAAGGGACCGUCUCUAAAGUUACAUACGACAUUGUUAAACACGAUUCUAACUUCAAUAGCAUUUGAAGGGAAUGACUUACUGUCAUAUAACCAACUGUAGAGUGUUCAUCUAGGUGUCAGGGAUAAGAAACACCUUUUAGAUUUUUGAUAUUUAUCAAAAUAAACUAUUAAAUCAUAUAUAAAUUAGACAUGAAUUUCACUGCAGAAUGGGCCCAUACACAAAAUAUAACAUUUUUUUUAAAGCUCAGUAGCAUUUGAAGGGAAUGAUGUACAGUCACACUUCCAACAAGAAGAGCAAUGGGCCAAGAGAUCACAAACUCAAAGACCAGCAAAGCAUUGUUCAAAGUAUUGCCCAGGUAUUAUUAUUGUUUUAUUGGGGUAGGGAUAGUAGAGAAUUGACAAGGAAAUAUAGGAUAGAAGAGUGGGGGUGUGAUCAGGAAAAUACCCUAUGAGCUGCGAAACGAACCCUUCACGGUAGGAGAGAAGCAGUUGUUUUGUCGCCUUUCUCUACAUUUAGACUCAACAAAGAUUUAACAAAUAAAUAGGUUUUUGAUGUUCAUGAUUUUCUUUAUUUACACUGCCUAGAGAGUACUUCAAGAUGAGAAGAAACUGGCUCAGUGAAUGUGACUAGGUGGACAUAAAAUGGAAUGGAGGACAAAUGAACCAUUCACACAACAGGACUGGUACAGCUGUGGAGUGUUUGUCAUGCAGAUGGCAAAAGAAGUUGUUGGUGUGUUUCCACAUAUCCCUUGCCAUUUGACUAUAAACUCAUCCAAGGAGCACAUGGAACAUCUGCGACUGACAAUGGCAGAGGAACUUCUGAAGGCCUCAGAUGACAUUACGAGAUCUAGAGCCAGUUGUGCUGGUUAACAGCUUCUGCUCUUGUGUGACUGGGAGUGGGAUAUGCAACCAUUUGGUUGCUUUGCUUUACCAGACAGCCCAUUACUCUGAAUGUGGAAUGUCUGUCGUUCCUCCUGUCCUUUCAUGCACCCAAACGGAACAGAAGUGGCAUAAACCACGAACAGUGGUUUGGAUCAAUUAAAUAUCUGGCACAAGGUUUGUUUUGCUAUAGUCUUAAUGCCAUUAAUAAAUAGGGAGUGAAGCCAGGACCGGUGGAUGCCAUGGUGGUAUUGAAGCCCAAACCAGGUAUUUCAGCAAGUGGAAUCAGAUAUGCAGAAUCUGCACUAUACAGGGCCUACAUUGGUGAGCUGCCAGACCCAUCAAGCCUCGACCAUAAAGCUGCCUAUGCUGACUUCACACCAGGCUCUCUUCCCCUUACCUGCACAAUGAAUCUCUCACCUCACAAGCCACUCAUGGACUCGAUCUUCAGUAAGUCACACCUCAUUGAAGAAGCAACAAGAUGUCAAAGUGCAGCACCUGAGUGGCAUUCACUGAGGAAGGAGAAGGUAACUGCUUCAAGUUUUAGGGAAGUUAGCCACGUUAGAGGUCCAAAUGCUGCAGUAGACCUAGCUGAGAGGAUCAUCCAAGGGACAAGACAAACAGCAGACAUGAAGAGGGGACUGGAUGUGGAGGAAGGUAUCUUAAAGGACUUUAAAGGAAAAGUGUAAACUUAAGGAAAUGUGGACUGGAGAUUCAUCCAGUUGCACCUUAGCUGUUUGCGUCACCUGAUGGGCUGCUAUAUGACCUGCUUGAGAGACCAUCAUUUGGCUUGGUUGAAAAAAAAUGCCCAAAUGCACUAAUUUACUUUAUGUAAGCACUUUAUGUAAAAUGUGUAGAUCUUAUUUAGGUCUGGGUUGUCAACUGUGGUUAUGUGUUGUUUUAUGCAGCACCAUGAUCCUGGAGAAACGUUUUUUCAUUUCACUGUGUACUGCACCAGCUGUAUAUGGUUGAAAUGACAAUAAAGUGAACUUGAAACUUGAAACUACAUUGACUGCAGGUACCUCAGAGUUUACCAUGGCAUAUACAAAUUGAAGAAAAGCCAUCAUUAUUAUUGGCAAGUGCAGAGGCAGUUGCUUAUCACAGGUAUGGAAUGGUGUGACUUUGUUGUCUGUGCCCAUGAUUAUAUGUUUGUGCAGCAAAUUUACAGAGACACUUCUGUGUUAAGCUCCCUGAAACAGAGGUGUGAUUUGUUUUUCUUUUAUACAUACAGUGAGGGAAAAAAGUAUUUGAUCCCCUGCUGAUUUUGUACGUUUGCCCACUGACAAAGAAAUGAUCAGUCUAUAAUUUUAAUGGUAGGUUUGGCCAUUGUGGAGAGUUUGGAAUCUGAUUGAUUGAUUGCUUCUGUGGACAGGUGUCUUUUAUACAGGUAACGAGCUGAGAUUAGGAGCACUCCCUUUAAGAUUGUGCUCCUAAUCUCAGCUCAUUACCUGUAUAAAAGACACCUGGGAGCCAGAAAUCUUUCUGAUUCAGAGGGGGUCAAAUACUUAUUUCCCUCAUUAAAAUGCAAAUCAAUUUAUAACAUUUUUGACAUGCGUUUUUCUGGAUUUUCUUGUUGUUAUUCUGUCUCUCACUGUUCAAAUAAAUCUACCAUUAAAAUUAUAGAAUGAUCAUUUCUUUGUCAGGGGGCAAACGUACAAAAUCAGCAGAGGAUCAAAUACUUUUUUCCCUCACUGUAUCUACCAAAAUACCUCUCCGUGCACAAGUAACUGAAGAGGCACAGUGCUGAGGAAAUGAAUUUAUGCAUGAUUUUACAAACAUGUAAUUUUAUUUUGUCAGGUCAUCUGAUUAAAGUAUU